CCUACGGGAGGCAGCAGUGAGGAAUAUUGGUCAAUGGACGAGAGUCUGAACCAGCCAAGUAGCGUGAAGGAUGACUCCCCUAUGGGUUGUAAACUUCUUUUAUAAAGGAGUAAAACGAGGCACGUGUCCCUUUUUGCAUGUACUUUAUGAAUAAGGAUCGGCUAACUCCGUGCCAGCAGCCGCGGUAAUACGGAGGAUCCGAGCGUUAUCCGGAUUUAUUGGGGUUAGGGGGUGCGUAGGAGGGCUUUUAAGUCAGAGGUAAAGAUUCGGGGCGCAACCCCGUCCGGCCGUUGAAACUGGGGGCCUUGAGUGGGCGAGAAGAAGGCGGAAUGCGUGGUGUAGCGGUGAAAUGCAUAGAUAUCACGCAGAACCCCGAUGGCGAAGGCAGCCUUCCGGCGCCCUACUGACGCUGAGGCACGAAAGUGCGGGGAUCGAACAGGAUUAGAUACCCGAGUAGUC
rnacentral:rRNA from 1 species